CCGUGCAAAGGUAGCAUAAUCAUUUGUCUCUUAAAUAGGGACCUGUAUGAACGGCAUCACGAAGAUUUUACUGUCUCCCCCCACCAAUCUGUGAAACUAAUCCCCCUGUGAAAAAGCAGGAAUACAAAUACAAGACGAGAAGACCCUGUGGAGCUUAAAACUAGUAAUACUUGCUAGUCCUCCUAAAACAUCUCCACUUAGCAUUGUACUUACACCUUUUCGGUUGGGGUAACCUCGGAGAAAAAUCAAACCUCCACGCUGUUUAUAUUUCAGAACCUCAAUUCUAUAAAUCAUCAAAUUGACACAUUGACCCAUACACUUGAUCAACGAACUAAGUUACCCCAGGGAUAACAGCGCCAUCCACUUCGAGAGCACGUAUCGACAGGUGGGCUUACGACCUCGAUGU
rnacentral:rRNA from 1 species